rnacentral:tRNA from 1 species
GGGGAUUUAGCUCAGUGGUAAGGGCGCUUGCCUAGCAAGCGCAAGGCCCUGGGUUCAGUCCCCA